AUUGAACGCUGGCGGCAGGCCUAACACAUGCAAGUCGAGCGGAUGAAGGGAGCUUGCUCCUGGAUUCAGCGGCGGACGGGUGAGUAAUGCCUAGGAAUCUGCCUGGUAGUGGGGGAUAACGUCCGGAAACGGGCGCUAAUACCGCAUACGUCCUGAGGGAGAAAGUGGGGGAUCUUCGGACCUCACGCUAUCAGAUGAGCCUAGGUCGGAUUAGCUAGUUGGUGGGGUAAAGGCCUACCAAGGCGACGAUCCGUAACUGGUCUGAGAGGAUGAUCAGUCACACUGGAACUGAGACACGGUCCAGACUCCUACGGGAGGCAGCAGUGGGGAAUAUUGGACAAUGAGCGAAAGCCUGAUCCAGCCAUGCCGCGUGUGUGAAGAAGGUCUUCGGAUUGUAAAGCACUUUAAGUUGGGAGGAAGGGCAGUAAGUUAAGACCUUGCUGUUUUGACGUUACCAACAGAAUAAGCACCGGCUAACUUCGUG
rnacentral:rRNA from 1 species